CUUGUGUGUCAACGCCAGUUCGUGAUCGAGGAAAACUCUAGGGACAUGGUAGCUUGCCUCUGGGUGGGCGAAUGUGCCUGGUAGAACUCAUUUGCGGACUGAUUCAUUUGUGUCUGGUUGCAGUGCUUGUUGUCAUUUCGACGUGCUGGUGAUAGGGGCUCGCUCCUUGAUCUGUGCGCUCGGGUGACUGGGCAUUUCCCUGACAUAUAGACGAUGACUAAAUGGUUCUAUUCGACCCGUCUUGAAACACGGACCAAGGAGUCUAACAUAUGUGCGAGUCCACGGGUGGUAAACCUGCUGGCGCAGUGAAAGCGACUGCUGGGAUUUUUGCACCAGCAACCGACCAAUCAAUUGAGAGAGGUUUGAGUAUGAGCAUAUCUGUUAGGACCCGAAAGAUGGUGAACUAUGCC
rnacentral:rRNA from 1 species